rnacentral:rRNA from 1 species
GACGAACGCUGGCGGCAGGCCUAACACAUGCAAGUCGAGCGAGGACUUCGGUCGUAGCGGCGGACGGGUGAGUAACGCGUGGGAACGUGCCCCUUGGUCCGGAAUAGCCCCGGGAGACUGGGAGUAAGACCGUAUGAGCUCCAUGGCGGAAAGAUGUUAUCGCCAAGGGAUGGGCCCGCGUUGGAUUAGGUAGUUGGUGGGGUAAAGGCCUACCAAGCCGACGAUCCAGUGCUGGCUUUCGAGGAUGAUCAGCCACACUGGGACUGAGACACGGCCCAGACUCCUACGGGAGGCAGCAGUGGGGAAUCUUGGACAAUUGGCGAAAGCCUGAUCUAGCGAUGCCGCGUGAGCGAUGAAGGCCUUAGGGUUGUAAAGCUCUUUCAGGUGGGAAGAUAAUGACUGUACCAGCAGAAGAAGCACCGGCUAACUACGUGCCAGCCGCCGCCGUAAAAC